UACGGGGGGGGCAAGCGUUGUUCGGAAUUACUGGGCGUAAAGGGCUCGUAGGUGGCCAACUAAGUCGGACGUGAAAUCCCUCGGCUUAACCGGGGAACUGCAUCCGAUACUGGAUGGCUUGAGUUCGGGAGAGGGAUGCGGAAUUCCAGGUGUAGCGGUGAAAUGCGUAGAUAUCUGGAGGAAUACCGGUGGCGAAGGCGGCAUCCUGGACCGAUAUUGACACUGAUGAGCGAAAGCCAGGGGAGCAAACGGG
rnacentral:rRNA from 1 species